rnacentral:misc_RNA from 1 species
UCCGGUUUGGCACCGGCAGUCUUCCUAGAGUCCCCGCCAUUACGCGCUGGUAACUAAGAACAGGGGUUGCGCUCGUUGCGGGACUUAACCCAACAUCUCACGGCACGAGCUGACGACAGCCAUGCAGCACCUGUGCAUGGAUCCCGAAGGAGGCUUCUGGUUUCUCAGAAGUUUCCCAUGCAUGUCAAGCCUAGGUAAGGUGGGGAUGACGUGAGUGACCUU